rnacentral:rRNA from 1 species
ACUCCUACGGGAGGCAGCAGUGGGGAAUCUUCCGCAAUGGGCGAAAGCCUGACGGAGCAACGCCGCGUGAGCGACGAAGGCCCUUGGGUCGUAAAACUCUGUCUUCAGGGAAGAAAAAAAUGACGGUACCUGAGGAGGAAGCCCCGGCUAACUACGUGCCAGCAGCCGCGGUAAAACGUAGGGGGCGAGCGUUGUCCGGAAUUACUGGGCGUAAAGGGCGUGUAGGCGGUUCGCGAAGUCAGGAGUGAAAACUCGGGGCUCAACCUCGAGAUUGCUUUUGAAACCAGCGGGCUUGAGUGCAGGAGAGGAAAGUGGAAUUCCCAGUGUAGCGGUGAAAUGCGUAGAUAUUGGGAGGAGCACCAGUGGCGAAAGCGGCUUUCAGGCCUGUAACUGACGCUGAGGCGCGAAAGCGUGGGGAGCAAACAGGAUUAGAUACCCUGGUAGUCCACGCCGUAAACGAUGGGUGCUAAGUGUUGGGGGUAUCGACCCCCUCAGUGCUGUA